GACUCUCGGCAACGGAUAUCUCGGCUCUUGCAUCGAUGAAGAACGUAGCGAAAUGCGAUACUUGGUGUGAAUUGCAGAAUCCCGUGAACCAUCGAGUCUUUGAACGCAAGUUGCGCCCGAAGUCUUUUAGACCGAGGGCACGUCUGCCUGGGCGUCACACACAG
rnacentral:rRNA from 2 species